rnacentral:tRNA from 1 species
GCCGCUAUCGUCUAGGGGUCUAGGACGCCGCCCUCUCACGGCGGAAACCCGGGUUCGAAUCCCGGUAGCGGUA